GGGAGUGUAGCUCAUCGGUAGAGCACUUGCUUAGCGUGCAGGAGCCCUUGGGUUCCAUCCCCAGGAUGACCA
rnacentral:tRNA from 1 species